AAGUAUGUAAUUAAAACUUGACAGUUAAAAAAGAAAAUGCCUUACAGUUCAUUCCUGGAUACCAAUAGAGAUGGCAAGAUUGGUUUUGCAGAAACAAGGUUGUGGAAAACUGGGACUUACCCCAAAGCCGCAAAGCAGGCAAUCACGAAGAGUAUUUGGGACACUGAAAUCUGGACACACAUUUAUAAGUAAACAGCUAUCAAGCAUCAAGUUAAGUUGUCACUUCCCCCUCCCCCAUGCCAUUAAUUUUCUGCUAUGCUACUAAGAGAAACAAAUAUCCCUUAGACUUCCAAUGAUCACAUCGCUGAUACAUGUACAGCCCAGAAAAGUAAAGUUCAAGCGAGAGAGAUUCUUUUGGGCUAAGAAUCUGAAAUUACUUUCCAAAUUAGAGAUGCCGUUUGCUAUAGCCAUUUUAAUGGGUACGUGGUACUAGCCAAAGGCUUAUGCCUUCUAAUAUGUACAUGUAAAAGUGUCUGUUUUAGAACUGUAUUUGUUGACUAAAGGUAUUCAUUUUAAAACUACCAAAUAACAAACUUCUAUUUUUGAUCACCCGUUAUUACUUCAGUCCAAAUUAUCUAUUUACUUUAAUUUAAAAUCCCAACGGUCUCGUUCUCCAUUUGAACGUCCCAUGCGGGGCUCCCUUACAACUCCAGGAACAUUUUGUAGACUUUCUUUGGAGCACACGCGGCUUAAAAUUUUAGAAAUUAAAUCUCAAAUUUUGGAAUCCAGUAUAUCUUGUCUACAGGGUCCAGGUUGGCAACUAAAAUUUAAUCCAAUUUCGGCAGUAGAAUUCAACGACUAAAACUGAGACGUUCGUGGCAGCCUUUAGGGGUCUCACUGUCAAAAAAGUGAACUUCAUAUGGACACUGGGGAAGAAUUUUCAGAAUUCAGAAGACCCAAACUGGGACACAAAGCAGAAUUUCUGGUUGACCAAUGGGACGGUUCCUCCAGUUUAGGAAAGAUUCACGCCGAUCUAUUUUCAACUAUGAAUGAUCAGUUUGCAGAUUGAAACCAAUACCAGCUCGGGAUGUACACUGACUACUGCUUUUCUGAAACCAAAAUGAUCCCGUGUCACAACCAAACCGUUUACCCAUAAUGUGAUGAUGCUGAGGUCUGACUAAAUGGCUAGGCAAGCUGGACCUGAAGAGAAUGAAAAAGGAAAAGGAGGAAGAAGGUCCAGUUACAUUGCUAUUGUCAUGGCAGACCCACCAGCUCCACUAAAAUGUGUAGGCACAGGACUGUCUAAUUCACCCAGCACUUCCAAUGAAUUGUAAAAAUUACCCCUGAAGGUAGAGCACCUUUUCUUUGGGUUUAAGGAGAACAAAAAUAAAA